UACAGAGGUCUCAAGCGUUGUUCGGAUUCAUUGGGCGUAAAGGGUGCGUAGGUGGCGAGGUAAGUCUGGUGUGAAAUCCCGGGGCUCAACCCCGGAACUGCACUGGAUACUGCCCUGCUGGAGUACUGGAGAGGAGAUUGGAAUUUACGGUGUAGCAGUGAAAUGCGUAGAUAUCGUAAGGAAGACCAGUGGUGAAGGCGAAUCUCUGGACAGUUACUGACACUGAGGCACGAAGGCCAGGGGAGCAAACGGG
rnacentral:rRNA from 1 species